AUGACUAGGGAUAACCUUAGGAAGAGACACAUCAUCAAACCCCUUGAUUGUGUUCACUGCUUGGAACAAGAGUCUUGUUCUCACCUAUUUUCUGAAUGUAUAGUUGCUAAACAUCUCUGGGCCCACAUUGAGGAAUAUUUCUCUAGUCAGAUUGGCUCAUCCUUCGAAUCUGUCGCCAGAUUCUGGAUUGCUACCAAAAAGUGCUCAGUUUUAAACACUGUUAGCUCAGCUGUCCUUUGGUGCCUCUAGAAAUAUAGAAAUGCUAUGAUUUUCAGUAACACCUCCUGGAUUUCCAUUCCGCAGGUCUUGAGGUUGAUCAGGAACAUGGUGAGGAACUGGAGUGAUUCCCUCCUCCGAAUCGGACAAGGACAAGUUGACGAGCUUUGUGGAAACCCUAACAAGAUCCCUCCAGAAACCGUUGGCAAUCACUUGUGGCUGAACAAGGCUCGACCUGCUCUGGGGCUAAACCCGUGGGCUCGUCUCAAGGUCUCUGAUGAAGAUGAUGGGCACCUGGCGCCGAAAAAGAGGGACAUCCACCAUGCCACGCCUUCCAGCCCGGUGUCUCCGCUUGCUUACUGGUCGCCGCAGGCUGACACGACCCCUCGGCUGAAUACCAUGAAGGCUUCGCUAGACCCUCCUUGUGUCAUUUGA
rnacentral:rRNA from 1 species